AGAAACUUAGGAUAGCACUAGACCAAGAGCCUUCAAAGCCCCAAGCAGGAGUGAAAGUCUCCUAGUUUCUG
rnacentral:tRNA from 1 species